GAUGGGAUAAGUCAGUCUCUGAGGUACCUCUGCUUAGCAGCUCAGAGAACUGGAGAACACCAAGCUCAUAAACAUCAAGCAGCCAAGAGCAGAAGGUGAAUCGCACCCUCCUGAUGGAGCCUUUCUCACCCAGCUCACCAAGAAGCAGAAUUAAGAAGCUUUAUGACCUUUUAAAAAGGGAGGGGCAUUCAUUUGUGGUCCCAAUUCCACCUUGCCUUUGAAAAGGGAAAGCAGUUUCUACAGACCACAGCCCAGCCCCAUUACAGAGAAGCAGAUAGUGCAAGCUGAUCUAAACUAUGGAAAAUAAAUAAAUGGAUAAACAAAGGAGAGGUUUAAAAAGUAGCUUGCUCAUUAGCAGAUAAAUUUUAUGCUAAGCUGAAAGCAGAUCGAGGAGCAAAGCCCUGCUCUGACAGCCAGUCCACCCUCUCUGCAAAUACCAUGCAUCAGGAUGUAAUUAAGGGAUUGUUUUUAGAGAGUACACCAAGAAGAACCUAACAACAACCGAGCCCUGCUGUGCCUACUGCUGUAACAGCCCCAGAAGAUGCUGCAGAUAAAGAAAGCUUUCCAUCUGCAUUUUCACUGCUGGGUGCCUGAGCUGCCUGGAUGCGAGGGAGGGAAGCACCUGCAGCAAAGUCCUUAAUGAACAUUUUUGGGGAGGCUGGGCUCCUGCUGGGGUGCGUGGUUACCUCUCCAGGGAGCCCAGGGGGGCAGAUCAGCGCCUGCCUCCCCUGCUCACCUCUGUGGGAUGGGCUCUGGGGCUUCUCUGUGUGCCCAGCGUGAGCUGAUGCAGGCUGAGAGCUGCAAGGCACAGCUGUAACCGUGUGCUGCAACUGUCCUGCCACCACGGCUGGGGUGGGCAAAUGCAUCCUGCCCGGUGCCGAGUCUGCAGUGAAUAGAAAGUGGAUAAGUGGAUAAAAUUGCCUGCUGUGGAAGAUGGGUGCUGAGUCCCGGCCUCAAUUGAGUGAAUUGGGUUUGGUGGUUGCUUGGUGGUGGUUUGGUUUUUUUUUGGUGGGCAGGGGGUGGUUUGCAUGUCUAUGUGCUUAUAUCCAGGUACAGUAGCCUGGAGGACAUCAGGAUCAGCCUCAGUUCUCAUUAUCUGGUGAGCCAGAAAGCUGUCCGGUUUCUGGCUGGAGGAAGGCAUUUCUCACAACAGUUUCAAGCCCAGGUCCAGGUGAGAUGUGCAUGUGGUCCCCACCACUGCCUGCCUGAGCUCCUCUCUCCCUGAUACGUAUGCAGUGAUCUGUUGCUCCCCGUGCCCACUUUCAUGCAGACACCACCACAAUUUUUCCCUUACCAUCUCAAUUUCAACCCCCCCCUUUUUUUUUUUCCCACUGUUGCACAACAGGGUGGCUUUGAAAGGAGCCUUUAACUUAAGCAUUAAAAAACCCCAAAUGAGCAUGUUCGUGUCUGGCUGCAGAGCAUCUAGCACGAUUCCCUGUCGAUGCAUCCCACAGGAAACAGAAGAGAUGGGAACAGCGGGGCGCCCACGCCAUCCCUGUCCACCCUGUCCCGGGGCUCAUUGCUGUGUGUCACCGCUCUCCCCCCUUCACCCACGGCCCGGCUGCAUCAAACCCCGAGUGUACCCGGCUGGGAGCACGGCUGCCUCAGGCCCCUUCCUGGUUUCCAGCUCUUUUGCAGGGUAAAAUUGAGCCUUUGUCCUGCUCUGCAUCAUGAGGCCGGGCUUCCUGCGGGGAGGGACAAUGCCCUGUUGUUCAGGGCCAGCCUGCAGCGAGCUCCCAGCACCAGUCCCUGUGGUCUGGGCUGAGCAGUGCGGAGCUUUGGGACUCCAUAUUCUACAGGGUUAGUGUACAAACCCUCUCUCUUACUUUGCCCAUAAGAUGCCAGCAGCGCUGGGGCCGAGCACACCCUUACCACACAGAGCACUUCCGCGAGAGGAACGAAAUCUCUAACAAGCCAGCAGCGCUGGGGAAGUUUUAGUUCAUAAAGAUGCUCAGGAGGGCCGUGCCAUCAAAAUGAUACAAUGUGGAAGCCACAUCCUGCCGGCUUGGCUAAUCUGUAAAAGAGCUUUCAGUGUUUUCCCUUGGAGUAACAGCUUUAAAUUUUAAUAAGCUGCAGUGUACUUUCACCGGAUGUCAUAAGCUGAUACAAAGUUUAAAUGAGGUUAAGCAAGUGGGAGCCUAGGAGAAAUGAAUGUGAGAUGUAAAUGAUUUCCUCCCUUUUACAAGUUCACUUCACUGGGACUAUUUUGGAAAAAAAAAAAAAUCAAUGUUUUUUUUUCCUUCUCUGGAUGAUUCGACGUCAGCGGAGGGAGACAACACUCGAAGUAGUCACAGAGCAGCUCCAGCAGGACGGACGCUUAACAGAAGUGACACAGGAUAUUAAUCAAGUCAUUAAGUCACGUUACCUUUGUCAUUUAGCAGAUUUUGGGAGAGCUACCAAGUCACACGCUGCUCCACACAAGCCUGUAAAACAAGGAUUUGUA